UCGGGAGUAACACCUGGAAACAGAUGCUAAUACCGGAUAACAACAGAUGAUGCCUAUCAACUGUUUAAAAGAUGGUUCUGCUAUCACUCUUGGAUGGACCUGCGGUGCAUUAGCUAGUUGGUAGGGUAACGGCCUACCAAGGCGAUGAUGCAUAGCCGAGUUGAGAGACUGAUCGGCCACAUUGGGACUGAGACACGGCCCAAACUCCUACGGGAGGCAGCAGAG
rnacentral:rRNA from 1 species